GACGAACGCUGGCGGCGUGCCUAAUACAUGCGAGUCGAGCGAAGUUUUUCUGGUGCUUGCACUAGAAAAACUUAGCGGCGAACGGGUGAGUAACACGUAAAGAACCUGCCUCAUAGACUGGGACAACUAUUGGAAACGAUAGCUAAUACCGGAUAACAGUAUUUCUCGCAUGAGAGAUAUUUAAAAGUUGGUUAUGCUAACACUAUGAGAUGGCUUUGCGGUGCAUUAGCUAGUUGGUGGGGUAAAGGCCCACCAAGGCGACGAUGCAUAGCCGACCCGAGAGGGUGAUCGGCCACACUGGGACUGAGACACGGCCCAGACUCCUACGGGAGGCAGCAGUAGGGAAUCUUCCGCAAUGGGCGAAAGCCUGACGGAGCAACGCCGCGUGAGUGAAGAAGGAUUUCGGUUCGUAAAGCUCUGUUGUUAGGGAAGAAUGGAUAUGUAGUAACUAUACAUGUAAGAGACGGUACCUAACCAGAAAGCCACGGCUAACUACGUG
rnacentral:rRNA from 1 species